AUGAACGCUGACAGAAUGCUUAACACAUGCAAGUCACCUUGAAUUUGGGUUUUUUAACUUAGAUUUGGGUGGCGGACGGGUGAGUAACGCGUAAAGAACUUGCCUCACAGCUAGGGACAACAUUUGGAAACGAAUGCUAAUACCUGAUAUUAUGAUUAUAAGGCAUCUUAGAAUUAUGAAAGCUAUAUGCGCUGUGAGAGAGCUUUGCGUCCCAUUAGCUAGUUGGAGAGGUAACGGCUCACCAAGGCGAUGAUGGGUAGCCGGCCUGAGAGGGUGAACGGCCACAAGGGGACUGAGACACGGCCCUUACUCCUACGGGAGGCAGCAGUGGGGAAUAUUGGACAAUGGACCAAGAGUCUGAUCCAGCAAUUCUGUGUGCACGAUGACGUUUUUCGGAAUGUAAAGUGCUUUCAGUUGGGAAGAAAAAAAUGACGGUACCAACAGAAGAAGUGACGGCUAAAUACGUG
rnacentral:rRNA from 1 species